rnacentral:rRNA from 1 species
UACGGAGGGUGCUAGCGUUGUUCGGAAUUACUGGGCGUAAAGGGCGCGUAGGCGGCCGUUUGCGUCGGAUGUGAAAGCCCGGGGCUCAACCUCGGAACGGCAUUCGAUACGGGACGGCUGGAGACCGGGAGAGGAGAGUGGAAUAGCCAGUGUAGAGGUGAAAUUCGUAGAUAUUGGCUGGAACACCGGUGGCGAAAGCGGCUCUCUGGCCCGGUUCUGACGCUGAGGCGCGAAGGCGUGGGAGCAAACAGG